GUCUUCCUCAUAUUAAAAGGAACUGAAAGUUGAUCUGAAAACAUGUUGUGUCUGUUUUCACACGUAUUUGCAAGUAAGUCACAUGAGUACACGUCAUUGGGGUUUUCCUGAAAAUUUCUCAGUUUCUACCCAGAAGUUGAUAAUAAGCUUUCUGCAUGUUUCCUCUUACAUGCAUGGUGAUGUCUACCUCAUUUCCAAUAGUUUAUUUUUGAUGUGUGACUUCUUUUGGUUAUGUGAAAAAAAGGGGCGGGGGGGACGACACACUCUCCACACAUUCAGCUCUUGUUUCCUGUCUGCUGUAUGGAAAAAGCCUUAAUUGGGACCUCGGUUUUGGCAAGAUCCCCAACACCACUGUCUGAAAUGCAACACCCCACUGUUCUACCUCUUUCCUUACCUCCUCCACACAUGCAAUAUCAACUAAAAAAGGUUACGUUUGGGUUCAUCACUUCAUAAAACCUGUUGUCCCUGAUUUUCACUCCAGUUCUUGUGUAAUUUGGCAUACAUCUGGCUUUUUUUCCCUGUUUCCCUUCCUUAAGAAUGGCUUGACAGCUGCCCUUUUGAUGAGAUCAUUUUAACUUUUGACUCAAGGCCCAGAUGCAGUUUUCAGGUCCCAUGCGAGGUCUUUUAGAGUCUUUCCUGUUUCUUAAGGACAGGACUUUUAGAUACAGUUCAUCUGCUGUUGAUGUUUUUUUUUAGGCCUGCAACUUCUUCUUUUGUCCUGUGAUUGUGCAUUUCCCUCUUUUAUUUAUUUUUUUUUUUUUAAUUGCACCACAUGCCCGGUUUUGCUUAUGCAAAAUCAUUUUGUUUGUGCACAAAUACUAUUUUAUAUCUCCAAAGUGUUGUCUUUGACAUAAAAAUCUACUUAGAGUCAACUAAAGAAAUGUGAACAUAUGAUGUGCUUUUGCAACAGGCUUGUACCGUGCACAGGUACAUGUUGUGAACUGAAUUUCUUUUAGCUUCUUUUAAUAAUGCUAUCAGAGAUGCGAGGGCUGCCUAUUUCUAACAAAUGGUUACAAAGAGCAGAGGUAAUCAUAAGGUGUUAUUCAACCAUUAGUCACCAUUGUUACUCCUGCUCUACCUGCAGCCCCUAUUUCCUCUAAUGAAGAUUGUGAAAAUUUUCUGUCUUUUCUGCUUGCAAAAAUUAAUAAUGUAAGAAUGAUUUUUUUUUACAAUCAGUACCUGUUUUGUCUGUCUCUACCCCAUCUCGGACCAUCAUCUUGGAUACUUUCUCUCCUGUUUCACUACCUGCGCUGGUAAAACUAGUGAAUUCAGUGAAAGCAUCCUCUUGUUGUUGUUGUACCUGUAUCAUUAUUCAAAAAUGUCUUCCAGUCUGUUGGUCCAUGUGUGCUCACUUUAAUCAACUUUUCACUGGCAUCUGGUAUAGUUCUGGUUUGUUUUAAAAAUGCUGCUAUUCUCCCACUUUUAAAAAAAUCCCAGCCAGACCCUUCUCUUUGGA
ensembl:lncRNA